rnacentral:tRNA from 1 species
GGAGAGAUGGCCGAGUGGUUUAUGGCACCGGUCUUGAAAACCGACGAGGGUAACACCUCCGGGGGUUCGAAUCCCUCUCUCUCCG